CCCCUCGCUGUGCAGAGGGGACUGAGACCGAGAGGUGACCGAGACCGAGAGAGGACUGAGACCGAGAGGGAACCGCGAGGGCGGGAGGGAAGCUCCGCGAGCCGGCACCAGCGCCACGGCCCAAAUCCCAGCCUCUACAGGUGCUCACCGCGCGACUGCCUGUCCCAGGCGCCCUGGCUGCGCGCCCUCUCUAGGGCCUGGGAGCAGCCUGAGUCCUGGGGGCGGCCCGGCAUGGGCCUCCCACCCCAGGAGACGCCCUUCUCGCCUGGCCCUCCAAGUCGCCUGGGCGGGACUCGGAUGCCCGGGGGCCACAAACCUCUCCCCCGUGAAUUCAGCAGGGAGGCCGGGGAGGCACGCUGCUCCCCCGCUCAGCCUUGCCCAGUAUCCAGACCUUUCGAAAGAAGCCAGAAAAUUCAUAUUUGCUUGGGAACCGCCCACAAUUCAAUAGCUUUUCAAAACAGUGCGGGAAGAAAAAUGGGUUUGGCCCACCAGCAGCCAGCGGGCACCCUCCCAGCCUCUUCAUGGACUCUCCUUCAGAUUUUGGGCGCCCGGCCCCAUUAGAGCCAUCUGUGGGCAUUUCCUUCAGAUCUUCCUCCACUUAAACAUGCUUAUUGAAAAAGAAGACUCCUUUUCUCUUUCCCUAUCGUAAUUAGAAACCCAGCGUCCUGUGGCGUAAAAGCCAGGUAGCCUCGGAAGUGAAAUAGGGCGAUUAGAACAGACACAGGGCCUGUUCCGCCCGACCCUGCUGCAUCUGGUGGACAAGCCUCCAGGGCUACUGAUGACCCAUGCCCUCCGACCUCACGGGAGGGGCGGGCCGAAGACAGGCCUUUCUAGAAGGGCCCUGGAAGCGGCUUCAGGGAGUCUGGGAACCAAAGCAGCUACCCUGUCCGUGGCACUGUCCAGCCCUGGGCACCACGGCCCCGCCGGGAGUGGAAGCUGCCAGCCUUCGGAGAGGCCCCCACUCCAGGAUCAAGACCCAGCCCAGUCACGGCCUGGCUCACGAGGCCCCACCUCAACUGCCCCUGACCUCUCUGCGCCCGCUGCUCCCGCCAGCCCUGCCGGCCGCUGCCCUGGAGAAGGAGCUCCAGACGGAUCCCCAGUGAGUAGGAGGCAGCCGUGUGAGUCAGGCGGCUGAGGGAACGGGCUGCACCGCGGAGAGGAGGUGCGAAGCAGCGCGCCGUUUCCGGGCUCUGGGAAGCCGAGCUGCCGAGGCGUAAGCUGGGAGGUGGACGUGACGGGGGGAGUGGGGAAAGGCAGGCGGCGGGACGGCCACACAGCGGAAUAUUAUGCAACCUAUAAAAAAUUUAAUUAACUCCCUACCAAUAGACUUAAAGGGAUUUCUAUAAGGUAUUGUUGGGUGAGAAAAGCAAUUUGAAGAUAAGAAUGUAACAUACGAUCCCAUUUUUAUAAAACAAUGGGCAAAAUACUCUGUGAGUUUGUGUGUAUAUAUGUAUAUGUAUAUAGACCUGUAUAGGAUGUUAUUAACACAAAGGAAAAUUCAGGAUACAUGCUAGGUUGUUAAUAGGGGUUUUCUUCACGGAAACCUAUUGUGGGAGAAAGGGAACCAAGAAAAAAAGGAUCUGAGAAAUAAAGACUGCCCUUAAAAGAUGAA